GCGUGCGGGAAGAAGGCCUUCGGGUUGUAAACCGCUUUUGUCAGGGAAGAAAUCUUUCAGGUUAAUACCUUGAGAGGAUGACGGUACCUGAAGAAUAAGCACCGGCUAACUACGUGCCAGCAGCCGCGGUAAUACGUAGGGUGCAAGCGUUAAUCGGAAUUACUGGGCGUAAAGCGUGCGCAGGCGGUUGUGCAAGACAGGUGUGAAAUCCCCGGGCUUAACCUAGGAACUGCACUUGUGACUGCACAGCUGGAGUACGGCAGAGGGGGAUGGAAUUCCGCGUGUAGCAGUGAAAUGCGU
rnacentral:rRNA from 1 species